rnacentral:rRNA from 1 species
CCUACGGGUGGCAGCAGUGAGGAAUAUUGGUCAAUGGACGAGAGCCUGAACCAGCCAAGUCGCGUGAAUGAUGACUGCCCUAUGGGUUGUAAACUUCUUUUAUAUGGGAAUAAAAUGUUCCAUGUGUGGGAUUUUGUAUGUACAUAUGAAUAAGGAUCGGCUAACUCCGUGCCAGCAGCCGCGGUAAUACGGAGGAUCCGAGCGUUAUCCGGAUUUAUUGGGUUUAAAGGGAACGUAGGUGGAUUGUUAAGUCAGUUGUGAAAGUUUGCGGCUUAACCGUAAAAUUGCAGUUGAAACUGGCAGUCUUGAGUACAGUAGAGGUGGGCGGAAUUCGAGGUGUAGCGGUGAAAUGCUUAGAUAUAACGAAGAACUCCGAUUGCGAAGGCAGCUCACUGGACUGCAACUGACGCUGAGGCUCGAAAGUGUGGGUAUCAAACAGGAUUAGAUACCCUAGUAGUC